ACGUAGGUGGCGAGCGUUAUCCGGAUUUACUGGGCGUAAAGGGCGCGUAGGCGGGAAUGCAAGUCAGAUGUGAAAUCCAAGGGCUCAACCCUUGAACUGCAUUUGAAACUGUAUUUCUUGAGUGUCGGAGAGGUUGACGGAAUUCCUAGUGUAGCGGUGAAAUGCGUAGAUAUUAGGAGGAACACCAGUGGCGAAGGCGGUCAACUGGACGAUAACUGACGCUGAGGCGCGAAAGCGUGGGGAGCAAACAG
rnacentral:rRNA from 1 species